UAUAUAGCUCAGUCGGCAGAGCAUGAGGCUCUUUAGUUUCAGGGUUGUGGGUUCGAAACCCACACUGGGCACAA